GCAAAAAUGGGAACCAGUAGAAUUGGACGAUCCUUCGUUCUUUGCGGGAGAAAUGGAUGGAUUUGUGUCCCUUGAAGUCAUGGAAGAUUAUUACCCAGUAGAGCUAGCAGGAAUUGGUGCAGGUGGACCAGCUCAGAAGAAGAAAAUGAAAGAACGGCCGCUGCAGGAGGAUAAUCUGGAACAAAAAGUUACCACACCAUCCUGACAACUUGAAAAAGCACAAAGAAUGACCAACAGACAAAGGGAAAAAAGAAGAGG